UGGGCCUCGAUAUAUGUAGCUGCAUGAACCGAAUUUACGAUAAGAGUAGGGGAUUAACAAGUACCCUUACUAUUUAUGAUACAUAUCUACAGUGUAGCUAGAGUAAUCCCAUGUACGUUAUAGUAUCAUAUAUGGCCGCAAUGACCAACUCUUCAUAUUGGAAAACAUGAGUUUCUAGUCUUCAUUCAUUAAACUUCCACCUUCGCGGUUAG
rnacentral:lncRNA from 1 species